UUUAAAUUUAUUUUUUACUUAUCUUUCCCAAAAAUAAUUAACUUUGAACUUACAUUAGGAAAAUGACUUUUUAAGUUUUAAGCGCGUCCAAAACGCUGGAGGAAAAGUAUUCCGCUGUAAACGGGUAGAGAGAUUCCUUUGCGGUGAAUUUUUUUUCAUACCAUACACAGCGCCGAAAACGACAGCGCGUGGAUGAACUCAAGUCAAUUAGUUGGAAACAACGGAAGCAGCAAGAGAGAGCAUGAUGUACCCUUUGUGUGCGAGUCGUAGUAGAAGGCAUACAGUCCAGUCCCACUCAAGCCGUUCUCCAUCUCUCAGGCGGAGCCUCUCAGGUACCUUCACAUACAUACACACAUAUACAUGCAGAUUACUCAUGUUUUGCUCACUUUUGAGGUCACAUAAACUGUUUGAUGGAUUGUCUAAAUGAAGUGAGUGGGGAACUUGGGUGGUUAAUGUCUUUGCCAGGAGCCUCAAACAUAGUUUUGGAAUCUGUUUAAUGUUAUUAUGUUUUUUAAGGCAAACUGUGGAGGACAUGGCAUAGUUGGUUUAUGUUGUGCAUGUGGCUCAUGUUGAGUAGAACACAGGCUCUGGAUCAAAUGGAUCGAUACCGACGCGGAGUGGAGUGGAGUGAGACGAGCAGAGCGCAUUGAACAGAACGGAGCGGAGCGUCGGCAUCGGCUUUGCGCGGGUUUAAUUCACUAUCUGGUUGUUAGGGACGUUGAAUGGGUUGGGGGUGCGGGGGCAACGCCCCGCGGUACGGUACAGGGGUAUUUUCUGUACGGACCUUAAAGUUUUAUAUGAGCUCAAAUUAGGAUUAGUAUAAAUAAUAUGUUGUAACCCUAUUUUUCACAACUGAAUAAAGAAAUUUCCACUUCGCUCUCGUGGACGUAGGCACAUCGCCGAAUC
rnacentral:lncRNA from 1 species